AGGCGACGCGAACGCAACCACGGCAAAUGUAGCUUCCGGAAUGGCGGUCCAUGAUGACUGCAAGUUGCGGUUUUUGGAGCUUAAGACAAAAAGGACUCACAGGUUCAUAGCUUUCAAGAUUGAGGAGAAUCAGAAGCAAGUCAUUGUGGAGAAGCUUGGUGAGCCAGCUCAAGGCUACAAAGAUUUCGCUGCUUGCCUCCCUCCUAAUGAGUGCCGCUAUGCUAUAUAUGAUUUUGAGUUCUUGACCGAAGGCAAUGUCCCUAAGAGCAGGAUUUUCUUCAUUGCUUGGUAAUUAGAUGUUUGCUUGUUUGUUUGUUCAUAUGCCUGCUGGUUGCUUUUGCUGUUGAUUGAUAUUAAUUUGAUUUUUGUGUGCCUUUGUGCCUUUGUGAUAUUAAUUUGAUUUUCUAGUUAUAAAUUAAUCUCUAAACAGUUGCAUUGUGUUACUUGUUCCAAUUUUUCUUGCGUACUACUUGAAUAGCAUGAUGAGGUUCAAAAUUUUAAAUUUCUUAACCCUGU